UCGCUGAUUUAGAUGUGACAGGGGGGAAUAGAGUAAGACCGAGAGGUAUUUCAGAAAGUUGAGGGUUUGGAUUAUUCCAAUUGGUUCUGCAGACAUACACACAGAUGCAUACACACCAGUAUACACAAACCAAGCUACUUGAGGUCCACGUGCAGCCGCCGCGUCCCGACACUCGUCCAGCCGGCACAGCGGAUCUUUUAGCCUCGAGAAUCACGGGGUGGAAAUCUGAACAGUGACCACCAUCAUCGUAAUGGACGGAAUUCACCAGGAGGAUAGGAAACUACGAGAAAAUACAAACAAUUCAAUAACAAAUCUUUUGUUGUUUAUAUUUUCAAAUAUUGAAGGUGUAUUUUUUGCUCAUAUUUCCAUAUAUGACGUUUGAAGCUUAAAAAAACAAAAAGAAUUCUCUCACUCCCAUAUGUGUGCGUCAUAGGUAGUUCCCGGUUGCCAAGGGAACGGCUACCUUUCAGCCACAACACGUCCCUACGUCAUUGCUCUUUGACGUCAACAUCCCUACGUCAUUGCUCUUUGAUGCGAACAUCCCUACGUCAUUGCUCUUUGACGUCAACAUCCCUACGUCAUUGCUCUUUGAUGCGAACAUUCCUCAUAACUCCUCUGGAGUCCUUGACAGCUGCACGCAUUUUGCUCCUGGUCCUGCCUCAGUUCAAAAUCUUUUGAACACUGACAAUAGAACGAUUUAAAGUAUUUUAUCCAACAUUUAAAUCAAACAGGAGAAAUGGCUCAAGGACAUACAACAAAUCUGCCGGUUUCAGACCAGGGACAAGCAGAGUCAGCGGAACAGUACAACGCAGAAUAUAUGAACCUGAGGGAGAUCUCCGAAGUUCUCAAGUCUAUGCGCAUCAAAAUUCGCAUGAGCGGAAUAAAGGUCGCAGGAUGGGAAUCUUUGGUGGUUAAAAACGACAAGUAUGAGCAACACAGGCAGGAGGAAGGCAUGGCUAGGAGAAAAUGUGAAACCCUUCAAAAAGAGGUCAAGGGUGUCAUUGAUAAGGUCAAAAAUCAUCAACAUUUUCACUCAAUGUACAAAGAAAAAAAAGCCUCAAUCCAAGAACUGUCGUCCAAACAUGAAAAGCUGCAAGAACAACUGGAAAAGCAGCAGAAAAAGUUGGAGCACUUAAAACGCGAGGAGGCAAACGCUGCGUCCCUAACACAGGAACUCGAUGAGUACGAGAGAAAAGUUAAGCUCCUGGAGACCGAACUGCAAAAGGUAACCAAUGAAUUUAACCUUUUUUCAGAGGCCAGUAAACGAGACGCCCAUCAUCUUAAUGAGAAGAAGAAGUCUAUGGAACGUACGGUGGAAUUCCUGACCGCCCAAAAAGAUUCCAUUGAGUCGGAUUACAAACAUCUGGAAUGUAAGAAUAAGGUGCUGAUUGCAAAGACACAGGGGUUAGAAAUACAGCUUUUCGAUCUGCAGGAUGAAGAGAGCGAAAUGAAACUGAAAGUUGAAAACCAACGGCGUGAAAAUCAGGACGCAAAACAACGUAAGGACGCUUUGGAGGGAACAAAUAAUGAUUUAAAACUGAAAAUCCAGGCCCUCAAUGAAGAGCUCACGUCCAGAGAGUCUUUGGCAGCGCAACUGAAAGUCCAGCAGACUGUUCUGGAGGCACAGCAGCAACAGUUGAUUAAGGCCCACACGGAGGCCACCAGCAAGCUACUGAGCCAAAAAGAAUGGAAGUCUGGCUACGACACACAGAGGGAACUAAAGGACGCCUUGGAGCUGAAGAACAAUGAAUGGAAAGAGAAUAUCCUCAGUCUAACGAACAGUCUCCAAGAUCUGGACGCCUACAAAUCCAACUACAAAUCGAUGAAGACAGAUAUAAAAGUUGCAACCAGACUGAAUAACAAUCUCAAAAAGCAACACAAGGCCCUGGAAAACAAGUUCUCAAAAGAGCAGGAGUAUGAGGAAAAAAACAACGCAAUAAAGUCAGAGAACAUAACCCUGUUGGGUGAAAACUGCACUCUUCAGCGUCAGAUUGAGGAACUGCGGAGCACCCUUCAGGGAACGCAAGCUUUGACUCGUACCUACAACUCCCUGGUGUUGGAUCGAGACGCCAACAAGCGACAGAACAACGGCCUUCUGAGAGAACUUAAGCAGCUCCAUAAAAAGGCCGCUAAAGAAGCGGCUCUGAAGGAGCGGAACGAGGCGACGCGGGCAGAGAACGAGAACGACCGCAGACAAUUGUACUUUCUCCAGGAAAAAGUACGCUCCAAGUCGCAUGUAGAAAGGGAGCCCCAGCAAGCGCAUUGUUCGUGGUUUGAACCCCAGCCGCUCAAUGUCCUGCAACCUACCCAACUGCUCCCUUAGGCCUCCCAUUAAUUAUGGGUAUUUAGGCAUCCAUUGAAGCAUCGUGACUAGCGGGGCUUUCAAAAAAUACCCUGACCUUAACCCUAGUCAGACACAUCACACAAACACAUCACACAAACACACACAUACACAUACAUGUACACAUAAACAAUCACACAUACAUUCAAUUAUACAUAAACAAUAACACACUCACAUAAACAAACACACUUACAUAAACAAACAGACAAUUACUUAGACAUAAACCAUAAUAAACGUUAUGGUUUAUGUCUAAGUAAUUGUCUGUUUGUUUAUGUAUGUGUGUUUAUGUACAUUCAAUCAUACAUAAACAAUAACACACACAAACACACAAUUACUUAGACAUACACCAUAAUACAUAUACAUAAACAAUCACACAUACAUUCAAUUAUACAUAAACAAUAACACACACACUUUCAAUUAAACAUAAACAAUAACACACUCACAUAAACAAACACACUCACAUAAACAAACACACAUACAUAAACAAACAGACAAUUACUUAGACAUAAACCAUAAUAAACGUUAUGGUUUAUGUCUAAGUAAUUGUCUGUUUGUUUAUGUAUGUGUGUUUAUGUACAUUCAAUUAUACAUAAACAAUAACACACACAAACACAUAAUUACUUCGACAUACACCAUAACACAUAUACAUAAACAAUCACACAUACAUUCAAUUAUACAUAAACAAUAACACACACACAUUCAAUUAUACAUAAACAAUAACACACACACAUAAACACACAAUCACUUAGAGAUAAACCAUAGCAAACACAUACACAUAAACAAACAUACAAUUACUUAGACAUAAACCAUAACAAACACAUACACAUAAACAAUCACACAUACAUUCAAUUAUACAUAAACAAUAACACACACAUAAACAAACACACAUACAUUCAAUUAUACAUAAACAAUAACAUGCGUAUAAAACAACA
ensembl:lncRNA